rnacentral:rRNA from 1 species
GAUGAACGCUGGCGGCGUGCCUAAUACAUGCAAGUCGAGCGAACGGACGAGAAGCUUGCUUCUCUGAUGUUAGCGGCGGACGGGUGAGUAACACGUGGAUAACCUACCUAUAAGACUGGGAUAACUUCGGGAAACCGGAGCUAAUACCGGAUAAUAUUUUGAACCGCAGGGUUCAAAAGUGAAAGACGGUCUUGCUGUCACUUAUAGAUGGAUCCGCGCUGCAUUAGCUAGUUGGUAAGGUAACGGCUUACCAAGGCAACGAUGCAUAGCCGACCUGAGAGGGUGAUCGGCCACACUGGAAGUGAGACGCGGUCCAGACUCCUACGGGAGGCAGCAGUAGGGAAUCUUCCGCAAUGGGGGAAGGCCUGACGAAGCAGCGCCGCGUCAGUGAGGAAGGUCUUCGGAUCGUAAAACUCUGUUAUUAGGGAAGAACAUAUGUGUAAGUAACUGUGAACAUCUUGACGGUAACUAAUCAGAAAGCCACGGCUAACUACGUG